rfam:Medicago truncatula strain A17 chromosome 3, whole genome shotgun sequence.
CCCGUAAGUAAUAAAAUGUCCGUUUAGGUCCCUUAACUUUAUUUAAAGUAUCGGUUUGAUCCUUUCUGUUAAUUUAAUUCAAAAAAACGUUAAGUUUAGGGACCAAACUAAUACUAAUUAAAUAAGUUAAAGGACCAAACUAAUACUAAUUAAAUAAGAUAAGGGACCAAAAUUUAACGUUUUUUUUUUAAUUAAAUUAACAGAAAGGACCAAACUGAUACUUUCAAUAAAGUUAAGAGACCAAAACGGACCUUUUAUUACUUAUGGGA